rnacentral:rRNA from 1 species
GCCCAGAGUUUGAUCCUGGCUCAGGAUGAACGCUGGCGGCGUGCCUAACACAUGCAAGUCGAGCGGAGUUUAUGUAAAGGAAGCCUUCGGGUGGAAAGUAUAUCAACUUAGCGGCGGACGGGUGAGUAACGCGUGGGCAACCAACCUUGAUCAGGGGGACAACAUUGGGAAACCAGUGCUAAUACCGCAUAGCUCUGUUUUAUGGCAUCAUGAAGCAGAGAAAGAUUUAUCGGAUCAAGACGGGCCCGCGUCUGAUUAGCUAGUUGGUGGGGUAACGGCCUACCAAGGCGAUGAUCAGUAGCCCGACCUGAGAGGGUGACCGGCCACACUGGAACUGAGACACGGUCCAGACUCCUACGGGAGCAGCAGUGGGGAAUAUUGGACAAUGGGGGGCAACCCUGAUCCAGCCAUGCCGCGUGAGUGAUGAAGGCCUUCGGUCGUAAAGCUCUGUCCUAUGGGAAGAAGAAAGUGACGGUACCAUAGGAGGAAGCC